rnacentral:lncRNA from 1 species
UUUUUUUAAUUACUCAGAUGAAUUUAUCACAUCUGUAUGUGUAUAACAAUCAUAACAAUCCAAUUUCACAGGAUUUCCAUCCCAUAACCCAAGGACAUCCCCCACCCCCCAAACUGUCUCCUCCAGAGACCAUAAGUUUUUCAGUGUCUGUGAGUCAGUAUCUGUUCUGCAAAGAAGUUCAGUCUCUCCUUUUUUCAGAUGCCACAUAUCAGUGAAAGCAUUUGAUGUUGGUGUCUCAUUGUAUGGCUGACUUCACUUAGCAUGAUAGUUUCUAGGUCCAUCCAUGUUGCUAAAAAUGCCGGUAUUUCAUUCCUUUUAAUGGAUGAGUAAUAUUCCAUUGUGUAUAUGUACUACACCUUCUUGAUCCACUCCUCUGUCAAUGGACAUUUGGGUUGUUUCCAUGUCUUGGCUAUUGCAAAUAGUGCUGCAAUGAACAUUGGAGUACAAGUGUCUUUGCGAGUCAUGGUUUUCUCUGCGUAGAUGCCCAGGGGUGGGAUUGCUGGAUCAAAUGGUAGUUCUAUUUUUAGUUUUCUGAGGAAUCUCCAUACUGUUUUCCAGAGAGGCUGCAUCAAUUUACAUUUCCACCAACAGUGUAAUAGGGUUCUUUUUUCUCCAAACCUUCUCUAGCACUUAUUGUUUGUAGACUUUUGGAUGAUGGCCAGUCUGGCUGGUGUAAGAUGGUACCUCAUCGUGGUUUUGAUUUUCAUUUGUCUAAGAAUGAGUGAUGUUGAACAUCUUUUCAUGUGUCUUUUGGCCAUCCAUGUGUCUUCUUUGGAGAACUGUCAGUUUAGAUCUUCUGCCCAUUUUUUGAUGGGUUGGCUGUAGGUGCGUGGGUUUAAUUCUGGGCUUUCUAUCCUGUUCCACUGAUCUAUAUUUCUGUCUUUGUGCCGGUACCAUGCAGUUUUGAUGACUGUUGCUUUGUAGUAUAGUCUGAAGUCCGGGAGCCUGAUUCCUCCAGCUCCAUUUUUCUUUUUCAGGAUGUCUUUGGCUAUUCUGGGUCUUUUGUGCUUCCAAACAAACUUUAAAAUAUUUUGUUCGAGUUCUGUGAAAAAUGUCCUUGGUAAUUUGAUAGGGAUUGCAUUGAAUCUGUAGAUUGCCUUGGGUAGUAUAGUCAUUUUGAUAAUAUUAACUCUUCCAAUCCACGAGCAUGGUAUAUCUUUCCAUCUAUUUGUGUCAUCUUUGAUUUCUUUCAUCAGUGGCUUAUAGUUUUCAGAGUACAGGUCUUUUGUCUCUUUAGGUAGGUUUACUCCUAGGUAUUUUAUUCUUUUGGAUGCGAUGGUAAAUGGGAUUGCUUCCCUAAUUUCUCUUUCUACUCUUUCAUUGUUAGUAUAUAAAAUACCAUUGAUUUCUGGGUAUUAAUUUUGUAUCCUGCAACUCUGCCAAAUUCGUGGAUGAGCUCUGACAGUUUUCUGGUAGAGACUUUAGGAUUCUCUAGGUAUAGUAUCAUGUCAUUUGCAAAUAGUGAUAGUUUUACUUCUUCCUUUCCAAUUUGGAUUCCUUUUAUUUCUUUUACUUCUCUGAUUGCCGUGGCUAGGACUUCCA